CCGAGUACCGGGUCUCCGGGCCCCUACUCCCACCCUUUGUGUACCUACCUGUUUUCGUUGCCUCGGCGGGGUCGAUCCCUAGGGCCUGCCCGGCCCGCGGGGGACCCGCCGGGGGGACACACCUAAACUCUUGUCAACGGUGACGUCUGAGAAACAAACAAACUAGUCA
rnacentral:misc_RNA from 1 species